rnacentral:lncRNA from 1 species
UUUCAUAAAAAUUUGAGAGAGAUAGAGAGAGAGAGAGAGAAAGUUCAAGAGAAGGAGCAAAAGGGUUAGAAGGGAGAAAGCUUGAAAAACCAAGAGGUAAUAGAGAUUCUAGGAGCUAAAUUGAAGUUUUUGCUAGGAUUUUUGCUUAUUGAGUGUUAUGUUUGGGUGAUCGAGAUUAAGUUGCUGUCGUGAGUGGUUUCCUCCUUACGUGUGUCUUUAGGUGCUCUGAUACAUAACGAGAUGGGACUUUGUUGCAUGCUUUUCUAUUCCUUACGUAUUGCUUAUGAUUUUACAUGACUAUGUUUUAGAUUGGAUUUUAUGAGACGUUAUGAUGAGGCCUUUGUGCCAAAGACUAUUUAGAUGUUGAAAUAAAUUCCGCUGCAAAGUUUUGAUUAUUAUUUUAUUGAAUUUUGAAGGAUAAUUAGUUAAUUAUUCCGUUUAUGAUUUUUAAGAAAAGAAGUGUAGCAUUCCGUUUAUGU